AUUGAACGCUGGCGGCAGGCCUAACACAUGCAAGUCGAACGGUAACAGAAAGCAGCUUGCUGCUUUGCUGACGAGUGGCGGACGGGUGAGUAAUGUCUGGGAAACUGCCUGAUGGAGGGGGAUAACUACUGGAAACGGUAGCUAAUACCGCAUAACGUCGCAAGACCAAAGAGGGGGACCUUCUGGCCUCUUGCCAUCGGAUGUGCCCAGAUGGGAUUAGCUAGUAGGUGGGGUAACGGCUCACCUAGGCGACGAUCCCUAGCUGGUCUGAGAGGAUGACCAGCCACACUGGAACUGAGACACGGUCCAGACUCCUACGGGAGGCAGCAGUGGGGAAUAUUGCACAAUGGGCGCAAGCCUGAUGCAGCCAUGCCGCGUGUAUGAAGAAGGCCUUCGGGUUGUAAAGUACUUUCAGCGGGGAGGAAGGGAGUAAAGUUAAUACCUUUGCUUAUUGACGUUACCCGAAGAAGAAGCACCGGCUAACUCCGUG
rnacentral:rRNA from 1 species